UACGAAGGGGGCGAGCGUUGUCCGGAUUUAUUGGGCGUAAAGAGCGUGUAGGCGGCCAAGCAGGUCCGCUGUGAAAACUCGAGGCUCAACCUCGAGACGUCGGUGGAAACCGUUUGGCUAGAGUCCGGAAGAGGAGAGUGGAAUUCCCGGUGUAGCGGUGAAAUGCGCAGAUAUCGGGAAGAACACCCGUGGCGAAGGCGGCUCUCUGGGACGGUACUGACGCUGAGACGCGAAAGCGUGGGGAGCGAACAGG
rnacentral:rRNA from 1 species